CGUGAUGGCGUCAGACGCAGCGAGCGCAGCUUCCGGUUGUCGGUGGCCGGGAGGCCGCUGCGUCGGGUUGGAGAACUUAAGGCUGCCGCGGCCGAGUAGCCCUCGCCCCCUCCCCGCUACCUCUGGUGAGUUAGGAGUCGGCGGCGAGGAGGGCAGCGGAGGAGCGGCGGGGCAGAGAUCCGAACAGGCGGUGCACAUUAAAGAUCCAAAACCAUGACAGAUUCCAAGUACUUCACAACAAAUAAGAAAAAUUUACCAGAAUCCUUUGUUGUUGAUUUCUGUUGAUUGUAUUACAAGAAAAGGGC